AUUGAACGCUGGCGGCAGGCCUAACACAUGCAAGUCGAGCGGAUGAAGGGAGCUUGCUCCUGGAUUCAGCGGCGGACGGGUGAGUAAUGCCUAGGAAUCUGCCUGGUAGUGGGGGAUAACGUCCGGAAACGGGCGCUAAUACCGCAUACGUCCUGAGGGAGAAAGUGGGGGAUCUUCGGACCUCACGCUAUCAGAUGAGCCUAGGUCGGAUUAGCUAGUUGGUGGGGUAAAGGCCUACCAAGGCGACGAUACGUAACUGGUCUGAGAGGAUGAUCAGUCACACUGGAACUGAGACACGGUCCAGACUCCUACGGGAGGCAGCAGUGGGGAAUAUUGGACAAUGGGCGAAAGCCUGAUCCAGCCAUGCCGCGUGUGUGAAGAAGGUCUUCGGAUUGUAAAGCACUCUAAGUUUGGAGGAAGGGCAGUAAGUUAAUACCUUGCUGUUUUGACGUUACCAACAGAAUAAGCACCGGCUAACUUCGUG
rnacentral:rRNA from 1 species